ncrna:unclassified sequences skipping-rope RNA
AGUAUUUGAGGAUAGAAAAGGUAGCUAUCAGUCGUUUUUUAAAAAUGUAACAAAUGUGGGAGUGCCACCCCACCAAAUACU